rnacentral:lncRNA from 1 species
AGAAGGCUGGGGUAGCCUAGCACUCCAUCCCUCUUUAGAAUAAGAAGAGCCUUUAGUUGGGCACAGCUGGAGUGAGUGGAUCCCCAGAGGGGCCUUAAAUGCGAAGACUUGGAGCUCCUGGCCUCCCAAGGCUCAGAGACACAAGCUCUGAGAGAGCCUGCUGAGGAUUGUUGUGCCCAGAUUGUGAAGUCCCAAAGACCACCAGGAGGCCAUUUCCGAUGGAUCAAACUCGGGACCUUGCACUUGCAAGGCAGGUGGCGGCACCACUGAACUAAAUCCCUGGCCUCUGAAUUGUACAUUUUAAAUGAACUAAUAUGGCAGGUGAAUUAUAUAUUCUGCCUAAUAUCUCAAUAAAGCUGCUACAAAAAUCUCGUUCCAGAUUUGGUCAGCUGAUAUCCUUUUGAUGUAGUUCUUAUAUGGAUUUGAGGUGCC